rnacentral:ncRNA from 1 species
GCACCCCACGAAGCCUCAGGUCCGACAGUGCCCCGUAUGGGGGAAGCAGGGUGAUCCUAUGCUGCCGAGAAAAGCCUCGACGCGAGGGACUAGCCGCCCGUACCCUAAACCGACUCAGGUGGUCAGGUAGAGAAUACCAAGGCGAUCGAGAGAAUCGUGGUUAAGGAACUCGGCAAAAUGCCCCGUAACUUCGGGAGAAGGGGGCCUGAGGGGUGAGGCCACUAGCUGGCUAGCCCUUUCGGGCCGCAGAGACCAGGGAGAAGCGACUGUUUACUAAAAACACAGGUCCGUGCGAAGUCGCAAGACGAUGUAUACGGACUGACGCCUGCCCGGUGCUGGAAGGUUAAGAGGACGGGUCAGCCGCGAGGCGAAGCUCAGAAUUUAAGCCCCAGUAAACGGCGGUGGUAACUAUAACCAUCCUAAGGUAGCGAAAUUCCUUGUCGGGUAAGUUCCGACCUGCACGAAUGGCGUAACGACUUCUCCGCUGUCUCGACCGCGAACUCGGCGAAAUUGCACUACGAGUAAAGAUGCUCGUUUCGCGCAGCAGGACGGA